rnacentral:rRNA from 1 species
UGGGGAAUAUUGGCACAAUGGGCGAAAGGCCUGAAUGCAGCAACGCCGCGUGCGGGAUGACGGCCUUCGGGCUUGUAAAACCGCUUUUCAGCAGGGACGAAGGUUUUUCUGACGGUACCUGCAGAAGAAGCACCGGCUAACUACGUGCCAGCAGCCGCGGUGAUACGUAGGGUGCGAGCGUUGUCCGGAAUUAUUGGGCGUAAAGAGCUUGUAGGCGGUCCGUUGCGUCGGAAGUGAAAACUCAGGGCUUAACCCUGAGCCUGCUUUCGAUACGGGCGGACUUGAGGGAUGUAGGGGAGAACGGAAUUCCUGGUGGAGCGGUGGAAUGCGCAGAUAUCAGGAGGAACACCAGUGGCGAAGGCGGUUCUCUGGACAUUUCCUGACGCUGAGAAGCG